AUAAGAUAGGAUAAUUUUAGUCCGAGAGGUCCAUACCCUCUAGGUGUUUUCUCUUGUUG
rnacentral:tRNA from 1 species